UACGGGGGGGGCAAGCGUUGUCCGGAAUUAUUGGGCGUAAAGAGCUCGUAGGCGGUUUGUCGCGUCUGCUGUGAAAACCCGAGGCUCAACCUCGGGCCUGCAGUGGGUACGGGCAGACUAGAGUGCGGUAGGGGAGAUUGGAAUUCCUGGUGUAGCGGUGGAAUGCGCAGAUAUCAGGAGGAACACCGAUGGCGAAGGCAGAUCUCUGGGCCGUAACUGACGCUGAGGAGCGAAAGCGUGGGGAGCAAACAGG
rnacentral:rRNA from 1 species